UACGUAGGGUGCAAGCGUUAAUCGGAAUUACUGGGCGUAAAGCGUGCGCAGGCGGUUGUGCAAGACAGAUGUGAAAUCCCCGGGCUCAACCUGGGAACUGCAUUUGUGACUGCACGGCUGGAGUGCGGCAGAGGGGGAUGGAAUUCCGCGUGUAGCAGUGAAAUGCGUAGAUAUCUGGAGGAACACCGGUGGCGAAGGCGGCAUCCUGGACCGGCAUUGACGCUGAGGCGCGAAAGCUAGGGGAGCAAACGGG
rnacentral:rRNA from 1 species